AGGAAACCGCAACAAAAACAACAACAAUAAAACACAAUUUCGGAUAUCCCCAUACAACAACAACAACUAUAAAUACAAUUCGUUCGAAUUGUUUGGAUAUUAACUACACACCAAAACAAAACAGCAAAUUAUUGAAAAAUACAAAAUAAAACAAGAAAAUUCUCGCUGUUUGGCAGAGCAGAGCGACGACCCGACCAAUAAAACCAACUACCAACAACUGAAAGAUAUAAACUAUACACCAAAUAAUUAAAUCAACAAUAACAUUGCAGCUGCAAACAUAGAAAUUGGCCAGCAAAAUGCCAACUGAACUGAAUGCAAAACAGCAGCAGAAAUAUUAAAAACUGACAUCUGGAGGAGCCGCGCCAAGACACCGGCAAGUGGUGUUGACAACAAUUUGCUGAGCAUGCAACGGAAACAAAAGCCAACAGCAGCCGUCGAAGAAGCAGCAGCAGCAGCAGCAAUAGCAGCAGCAGCAAUA
rnacentral:sRNA from 1 species